rnacentral:tRNA from 1 species
GGCGGGAUAGCUCAGCUGGUAGAGCAUGGGAAUCAUAAUCCCAGUGUCGUGGGUUCAAAACCCUCUCCCGCUACCA